rnacentral:rRNA from 1 species
UUGUCUUUUAAAUGAAGACCCGUAUGAAUGGCACCACGAGGGCUUAACUGUCUCCUUUUUCUAGUCAAUGAAAUUGAUCCUCCCGUGCAGAAGCGGGAAUACUAACAUAAGACGAGAAGACCCUAUGGAGCUUUAGACACCAGAAUAGCCCAUACUAAAUACUCCUAACAAAAGACUAAAACUUAUUGACCCCUAUUCCAAUGUCUUUGGUUGGGGCGACCGCGGGGAAACAAAAAACCCCCACGUGGACUAGGGGCACCUUGCUCCCACAACCCAGAGUUACAACUCAAAGUAACAGAACUUCUGACCAACAAGAUCCGGCACUUCAUCCGAUCAACGGACCGAGUUACCCUAGGGAUAACAGCGCAAUCCUCUUUUAGAGCCCAUAUCGACAAGAGGGUUUACGACCUCGAUGUUGGAUCAGGACAUCCUAAU